rnacentral:rRNA from 1 species
GACGAACGCUGGCGGCGUGCCUAAUACGUGCAAGUCGAGCGAGACUCUUCGGAGUCUAGCGGCGGACGGGUGAGUAACACGUGGGCAACCUGCCUGUAAGACUGGGAUCACACCGGGAAACCGGUGCUACUACCGGAUAAUCCUUUUCCUCUCAUGAGGAAAAGUUGUAAGUCGGUUUCGGCUGACACUUACAGAUGGGCCCGCGGCGCAUUAGAUAGUUGGUGAGGUAACGGCUCACCAAGGCGACGAUGCGUACCCGACGUGAGAGGGUGAUAGGCCACACUGGGACGGAGACACGGCCCAGACUCAUACGGGAGGCAGCAGUAGGGAAUCUUCCACAAUGGACGAAAGUCUGAUGGAGCAACGCCGCGUGAGCGAUGAAGGCCUUCGGGUCGUAAAGCUCUGUUGUUAGGGAAGAACAAGUACCGGAGUAACUGCCGGUACCUUGACGGUACCUAACCAGAAAGCCACGGCUAACUACGUGCCAGCCGCCGCAGUAAAAC